GCAAAGAGAGAGGAAUUCAUGUAACUGCAUGGUCUCCUCUGGGAGCCAAUGGAGCUGUGUGGGGUUCCCUUGCUGUUAUGGACAGUCCUAUUCUGAAGGACAUUGCAUACAAAUCAGGCAAGAGUGUGGCACAGGUGAGUUAAUAAUAAAACAUGAUAAACAAUAUAGAUGGAUUAUGUGAUGUGAAACUUAGUGGUAAGUGUGUGCAAUUGCAGGUUGCACUGAGGUGGAUAAUAGAGGAAGGUGCAACUCCAAUAGUGAAGAGCUUCAACAGUGAGAGAAUGAAGCAAAAUCUUAAGAUUUUCGAUUGGGAGCUGAGUGAGAGUGACUCAGAGAAGAUUAAAGAAAUACCACAGCAUAGGGGUUUCAAGGGUGAACGUUUUGUCUCUGAGUUUGGCCCUUUCAAAACUUUCGAAGAACUUUGGGAAUGACUGCACAUCAAUCUCAUCAAUGCUGUUUUCAAGUGAAUAAAACACAGUGUUUCGCUUCUUCUAAGACCUUUCCUUUCAAAUAAACAAGCUUUUAAAUAACAGUUUCAUUCUCAUUAGCAUAAUUUUUAUAUUAUCAAACAGUUGAGAACUAAAUAUGCAUGAAUUCAGUAUUCAAUAAUAUUCCAAUAAGCGACACAUUUCUCAACCGUUGCCAUCGUUUUCAUCCUUCUCUCUACGUGCUUUGUCCAAACGGUUGUAACAUAAUGGUUUUUUAAGGUACGUGUAAUAACAUAAUGGCAUUCUUUCCUGCCAAAUAUAUCUUUUAUAGACUAAUUGCUCUCAUACUUAAUAGUCAUAUGUUGUUCCAUCAUUAUGAUUAUUUGAAGAAAAUAAUAAUAAAAAAAUCAAAUAUUAAGAAGGAAAAUGCUUUGUUACAUACACUUGCAUCAAUUCCUAGUGCAGCAAAAGAAAACGAUAACAAUUAUUUUCGUUUAUAUAUAACGAUUCACAAAUCGAGAUAUAUACAGUCGAGGUAGUAGAGAUUCUUUUGCCUUAAUUCAUAGCACCCGAAAUAGUAGAAGAUAUUUCAUAUGUUUUUUUUUUCAAUUUUUUGUUGUGAUGUCUAUUGCCUCGGUUCAAAUGAACCGACGUAAUAAGUGAAAAUCUUUUAUCUCGAUUGGAGUCGAAGAGGGUAUUUUUCUUCAAUAAUUUUUUUUUCAAUACAUGAGAAUCUUUUGCCUCGAUUGUUACCACAAUCGGUACCACAAAACACAUACUACCUCGGUUAUUAUCACAAUGCAUAUAUUGCAAUUUUUUUUCAAAAGAGAAGGGUUUGUUUCUGUAACAACUCUUUCUACAGAAUCAAACCUACUUAUAUAGAAAUUAUCCACAACACACAAAUACAACCCAAAAGUUAAUUUUCAAUGAAAAUUAAAAUAAUCAUAUUACACUAAUUAAAGUAUUAUAUAUAUUUGAUAAAAAUCUUUUAUCAACUAGAAGGAUUUAUACAAAGGUUUUUAUAAAGUUUUAGAAAAAUACUAGUUUUUAUAUAAUGAAAUUCGAUUAAUAAAAAUGCUUUUCGUAAUUUUAUUUUUAAUAAUAAAAUAAUUAAAUAUCAUCUUAUUAGAGUUAAAAUCAUAAAAUUUUUGAAAAAUGAUAAUUCUUAUAAAAUAAAACUUGAUUAAUAAUUUUUUUAAAACUUAAUUUUUAGUGAUAAAAUGAUUGAGUAUUACGAGACUCAAAAUCAUAAACUCCUGAUUUAUUAAAAAAAUUAUUAUUUUUAUCUUAAAAAUAUUUUUUUUUAUUAACAAUCAAAUAAAACACUAAUGAAAAAAAUGAGUUUCAGACUCAUUCAAAUAAAUAGUGCAAAAAUGUCUAAAGAGUUAAGUUACAGUGGAACAUACAAAAAUAAAAUUAAGAUAUUUGUUUCCAGAAAAAUAAUGUAACAUUGAUAUAAACAUUAAUGUAUAAUUAAUAAAUCAUCAAUUCUUCUAAUUUAACUCAUUAUAUAUACUAUUGAUAAAUACUGUGUAAAAACAUUCAGGUAUAAUUAAUAAAUAAUCAAUUCUUCUAAUUUACCUCAUUAUAUAUACUAUCGAUAUAAAUGUUAUGUAAAACCUUUAGUGUAUAAUUAAUAAAUCAUCAAUUCUUCUAAUUUAACUCAUUAUAUAUUUAUAUAAAUGUUAUUUGUUACAUACAUAAAAUAUACUCUCUCAUUUUACUUUUACAUGUAUUUCAAGUUUAUUUUAAAGAAAUUCAAAAAUAUAAUAAAUUUUAUUUAAUCAAAUAAAAUAAUUAUACACAAUUUCAAUUACUGAACUUUCUUUUUAUUUAACAUGAUAAAUACAUGCAUAAAUUAUUUUGAAAAUAUUAUAAAGAUUAAAGGUAUAUUAGAAAAAAAAAAAUAUUUUUAAGAAUUGAGAUAGCAAAAAAAAAAAAUUGAAGUAUUAAUAAAUACAGAUCGUAACGCUUCGUGUAAAGUAAUUGUUUCAUUGACUUUAUUAGCAAUUCUUUAAAAGCAAUACCCCCGUGAUAUUUAACGCCAUCCAUUUAUAUUAAACCUUUAAAACUCUGUUUAAAUGUUUAAAAAUAUGAGAUUAAUUAAUUAACAAUUUUUUGUUCGAUAUUUACUGGAAGAAAAUUAUUGAAUAAUAGUGAAUUUAGAAUUUAGAGACUAAAAAUAACUAAUUAAAUUAAACACUAUUUUAUAAAUUAAAAAAAUUUAGUAUUUAAAAUAGAUUUUAUUAUUAAUAAAAAUUUAUAAUUAGUCUGUGAAUAAAAUUAUAAAUUGGUUUAUAAUAUUAUUAGUCUCCAUUAUUAAUUAGAGACUAAUUUAAAAUUUAAUAAUUAUAAUUUUAGUAACUAUAGUAGAGAUUAAUUUAGAUUCUGAUUAAUAAACUAAUUAUAAAUUUGUAUUAACAAUGAAGAUUUUUAGAUAUUUUUUACUUUAAAAAAAUAGUGUCUAAGUUAAUUAAUACAAUGAGUAAUUACUUUAUCUUUAAAUUAAUUAUUAUUUAAUGAUUUUCUUUUUAGUGAAUUCUUAACCUGUUGAAGUAAUGUUGGAUGGAUCAAGGCUUACAUAUAUCAAUUCAGUAACCUUUUUCUGGGUUAUCUUCCUAGAAAACAUCAGGUUUAAUUCAGUUUUAAUUAGGGAACAUUGUUUUACAGUUUUAAGGAUGUCUAGUACUUGACAAGGAUAAUAGAGACAUAUUCAUCAUAUGAUUUGAUCCCUUUAAACCUGUUUUAGUUUUCUGAAACUGUUUCAUUUGAUUCUAUUUCACAGGAGCAAUGGAGGCAAAGACAAUCCCAGAAGUGGUGCUGAACUCAGGGCAUAAGAUGCCCAAUUUGGGUUUUGGCACAGGAACACUCCCAUUACCACCAUCGCAUGUGCUUAUUCCUGCAUUCAUUGAAGCCAUAAAAGUUGGCUACAGACACUUUGACACUGCAGCUGUUUAUGGUUCUGAGGAACCUCUGGGUGAAGCAAUAGCACAAGCACUGGAUCAAGGUCUCAUCAAAAGCCGUAGUGAACUAUUUGUCACCUCCAAACUCUACUGCAAUGAAGCUCAUCCUGGUCUUGUUCUUCCAGCACUCAAGAGUUCAUUACAGUAAUUUUGUUACCCUUUUAUUUGAUUGUUAAAUUUUGGUUUUUGAAAUUCUUUAUAUUUUGUUCGUUGUAUGUGUUGGCUGAUAGGCACAAUUGUCACUAUUUCUCCAUCAAAAUUAGCAUUUCAUUUUGAUCAUCAUCUUAACAUCACUCUAAUUUAUGAUGAGAGAAAAUAUACGAUUACUGAUUAUCAGAAGAAUGUGCAUUAAACCAGGAAACAACUCACUUUCUGAGUCAGCUUUGGAGAUUCACAAGGCUGAUAUAUUUUAAAAGUUGUUUAGAUACAUUUUAAUUUGGAUUGAAAACUCAUUUAAAUGUUUAUUUGAUAUUGAAUGUGAUUUGUGCACAAGAUUCAUCCUGAGUGUAAUGAUUUGAAUGUUGCAUUUUAAUAGGAGAAUGGGCCUAGAGUAUGUGGAUCUUUACCUAAUCCAUUUUCCAGUGAGGAUGAGGCAAGGAGUUAAAGGAUUAAAUUACGGCAAAGAAGACAUUCUUCCUUUGGACAUGAAAGGAACAUGGGAAGACAUGGAACAAUGCUCUAAAUUGGGUUUGGCCAAAUCCAUUGGUGUAAGCAAUUUUGGGGUGAAAAAGCUUUCACAACUUCUUCAGAAUGCAAUUAUUACUCCUGCUGUUAAUCAGGUACUCUCACACAAAUGAAACCUUCACAAUUCAUUUUGUUCUUGGUCCUUUCGUUUGAAAUCCAUCCUUCUCCAAAAGCAGUGUAUAAUGUUUUGAAUUAUUGCCAUGAUUAUGUUUAAAGAAACUAUUUUGUGUACGAAAUUCAGCUUAAGCAUGUGUGUUUGCAAAAUGCAUAACUCUCCAGGUGGAGAUGAACGCAGCAUGGAAACAGGAAAAUGUGAGAAAAUUCUGCAACGAGAGAGGAAUUCAUGUGGGUGCAUGGUCUCCUCUGGCAGCGAAUGGAGCUGUGUGGGGUUCCCUUGCUGUUAUGGACAGUCCUAUUCUGAAGGACAUUGCAUGCAAAUCAGGCAAGAGUGUGGCACAGGUGAGUUAAUCAUAAAACAUGAUAAACAAUAUAGAUGAAUUAUGUGAUGUGAAAUUUAGUGGUAAGUGUGUGCAAUUGCAGGUUGCACUGAGGUGGAUAAUAGAGGAAGGUGCAACUCCAAUAGUGAGGAGCUUCAACAGUGAGGAAAUGAAGCAAAAUCUUCAGAUUUUCGAUUGGGAGCUGAGUGAGAGUGAUUCAGAGAAGAUUAAACAAAUACCACAGCAAAGGGGCUUCAAGGGUGAAAGUUUUGUCUCUGAGUUUGGCCCUUACAAAACUCUCGAAGAAUUUUGGGAAUGACUGCACAUCAAUCUCAUGAAUGCUGUUUCUGCUUUCUCAUCCAAUGUUUCAUGUGGAAAACACUGUUUUGCUUCUUCUAAGAUGUGUCCUUUCAAAUAAACAAGCUUUCAAGUAACAGUUUAAUGCUUAUACAUUUUUAAGGCAAUGUUCUUGUAUUAUUAAGCAAUUGAAAUUUUGAUAGAUAUAGUUUUUGAUAUAUAAUUAUAUAAAAAUGGUAUCUGAAUGGAUUAGGGUGGUAGCCCAAUCUAAAAAAUCUUCCAAAGAUGUUCCUUUUGCAUCAGUCAAGUAAUAUCUAUCCCAUCCUCGUGGAAAGUUGAAACCUUCAACACCUUGUUUCAGCCUCACCAGCCAAUGAACCAAAUAGAGAUCUGUAUACUGCAUACUGCAUACUAUAAUCAUAGACAAUAAUACAUAUACUAAUGUGUCUUUGUUUUAGGGUUUAGGAAACCUAGCUUCCUAAACAGUGUCAGAUAAAUUUACAUGCAACAAGAGAAACAAACUGUAGAAGAGGAAUUCAUGCACUGGGAUUCGUUUUGCUUCCAUAUUUUCUGUUGGGUUUGACUUCAUAUGAGUUGAGAUGUUAUAGAAUAUAAGAAAAGUGUUAAUUCUUAGUGGUUCGAAGAAAACUAAAACGACACUCAUCAACUUUGGAUUUAGGUACUAGUACAGAAUUGACUUUUAACGUCACCUUUUAGGCGUCACUUAAGUCGGGGUCCGACGUAAAUUAAUGACCGGUAGCACUUUCGUAAAUAAGUUGUCAAUAUAGACGUCAGUUAAGAGAGGCCCAACGUCUAUAAUAUUAUUGACGUCAGGACCCUCAUAACCGAUGUCUAUAAGCCCUCAUAUACGUCGGCUCUCCAAAAUAAACGACCAAACUAAACGAAAAAGUUAAUAAAAAAUAAUUUUUUAUUUUAUUUAGACGUCUGUUACGGUGGGAACCGACUUCUAAAGCAUUUUAGACGUCUGUUAUUGGGGGAACCGACGUCUAAACCCUAAAACCAGAAAUUUAAAAAGUGAUUUUGUGGCUCCAUUUGGACGUCUGAUCCCGCCACUUCGACUUCUAAAGCCCUUUAGACGUCUGUUAUUGGGGGAACCGACGUCUAAACCCUAAACCCAGAAAUUUAAAAAGUCACUUUUUGGCUCCAUUUAGACGUCUGAUCCCGCCACUCCGACUUCUAAAGCCCUUUACAUGUCUGUUAUUGGGCGAACUGANUCUAAAGCCCUUUACAUGUCUGUUAUUGGGCGAACUGACGUUUAAACCCUAAACCCAAAAAUUUAAAAAGUCACUUUUUGGCUCCAUUUAGACGUUUGAUCCUGCCACUCCGACUUCUAAAACCCUUUAGAAGUCUGUUAUUGAGGGAACCGACGUCUAAACCGUAAACCAAGAAAUUUAAAAAGUCACUUUUUGGCUCCAUUUAGAUGUUUGAUCCCGCCACUCUAACUUCUAAAACCCUUUAGACGUCUGUUAUUGGGAGAACAAACGUCUAAACCCUAAACCCAGAAAUUUAAAAGGUCACUUUUUGACUUCAUUUAGACGUCUGUUAUGGGGGGAACCGACUUCUAAAGCCCUUUAAAAGUCUGUUAUAGGGGAACUGACUUCUAAAUGUCGACAUUAAAACACCGUUACGCGCACUCAUUGUUCAUCCUCUUCGUCGCGUUUUCUCUUUACUGGUUGUGCUUUUCAGGUUUGUUUUCUCACUUUUGCACCAUAUUAAAUUAGUUUUACAACGAUUACAUCACUCUUUGAUGCAUUAUCUUUCAUUUGAAUCGCGACACAGCCGUUACGCGCACUCAUUGUUCAUCAUCUUCGUCACAUUUUCUCUUUACGGGUUAUGCUUUUCAGGUUCAUUUUCUCACUUUUGCAUCGUUUUAAAUUAGUUUUACUCCUAUUGCAUAACUCUUUGAUGCAUUAUCUUUCAUUUGAACCGAUUAAAAUGCGUUUUCGUUGGGCUUUGGUGAAGUUAUUCUCGUGUCCUUGGGCGGCGUUCUUUGGCGGCUUGCGUUUUGCACUCUCCAACCCUCCACAACGUUUUUAAAACCCUCCAAUAAAAAAAAUAUACAAUACAUUCUCUUCAACUAAAAUAUAAAAUUGUAAACUUGAAUCACCAUUAGUCAGGAGCAACCUCAGAGACGUUUGACCUGUAUGGAUCCGACGUCUAUAUAGACGUCUGACCUAUAUAAGUCUGACGUCUAUAAAGACGUCUGACCUAAAGGGUUCGACGUCUCAUUAACGUCACUUGUAUAAACGUCUGACAAAAAUCCGACAUUAAAAAUCCAAAAUAACAGACGUCUAAAGUCCUUUCUGUACUAAUGACGGGUGCAUAAUGCAAACUCACGAAAAUAUUACACAAGACUAAAAUUGUUAUGAAUACUUUUUUCUAAAUUUAUUGUAUAAUCAAAUAAUUUACUUUUCAAUAUCUUUAUAAGAAUAAAUUAAAUCAAAUUUAAUAUCAAUAUUUCUUUAAAACAUAUUAUAUAUCAGUUUAAAGUUUUUAUCUAACCCGAUUCACAUCCCAAAAUUUUAACAAUUAUUUCACUACAAAAAUAACAAUUUUAAUAUGACUUUGUUUAAAAUAAUCACUUAGCAAAGAUCAUGUUUUGAUAAUGCAUCAAAAACAAAUAUGAUGAUUACCGGACACAGUAUUUGGUGGCCAUCAUCUAUAGAAAUUAAAAAAGGAUGAUUAUGUUGGACAUAGUAACUUGUUGCCAAUUACACUCCUGGAAUAGGUACGUUGAAGCAUCAACCAUUUAUAUCUGACAAUGGUGACUAAGCUUAUGAUAAUGAGAUGUCAACUACAAGCUUGUGAUUAAGCUUAUAACAACAAUUUGUAAAUCUCCAAAAUUUAGUUAUGAAAUUCUUGUCUCCAGAACACAACUUAUUGUACAACAACUUCAGUUCAUCCAAACAUUAUCCCAACAACAACGACACUAUCCACUACAACCAACCCUAGUCCAACCAGCUCCCAGCAGGAUGAAGAAGAACAAAAUGAUUCUAAUGAUUAUGAUAACUAUUAGGACUUUUGUUAGUUUAUGUACAUUUAUUUUUACUUUAAGACUUGUAUGUUUUUAUUAAUGACACUAUAAUUAUGUUAUUAAUGAUAUGUAUUUAUUGUCACUGCAUUGUCUGUUUGGAUUGUCUACAUUGUCUGGAUUUGAUUGUUAUUGCAUCUGAUUAUCAUCAAAUUCAUUGUAAUAAGUAAGGAAUGUUAUCCUUUACACUUGAAUCUAUUAUCCCAUUUACCAAUGGACUUACCCAUGAAUUUUCAUUGAUAAUAUAACUCGUUGUAUUAUGUGAUUAUCAACAAAUAUAGGUCAUUAGUAAUUACAAACAUACAAGAACUGUCUGAUGAUUACAAACUAUCAAUAUUCUAUAUUCGCCAAUAAUUACUAAUUACUAAUAUCCUUCUAUAAUUGUUUUUCACAAAGACAUUACACAUAUUUAGGUCCGUCAAAUAUAUUAAAAAUUUUAUUAAUAUUUAUAAUUUUUUUAUAAUACUUCCAUAACUCACCCUUUUUUUACCUUUAUAAUUUAGUUAUUUUUACUAAUUUCAAACUUUUAACCUACAUUCUCUAUUUUAUUUGUUCAUAAUUUUGUAAGUGCAAAAAUUUGAAUUUUUCUUCUAAUAAUUUAAUUAAUUACUCAUUUUAGUUUCUCAUUUUAUCUUUUAUAAAUCAAAUUAAUUGAAUUUAAAAAAUUUCAACAGUAAAAUAUUUAAAAAAUACAACCCAUAAAUACAACAACCAUGUUAGUAAUAAUAAUAAUAAUAAUAGUAAUAUUAAUUGUAAAAUAAAAAUUAUUCAUAAUAAUAAUUAAUUGUUUUUAUUAUAAUUAUAAUUAAUAUUAGAGUGAUACUAAUAAUAAUAUUGUUAAUAAUAAUAAUUAUUAUUAUUAUUAUUAUAUUUUAUUUUAUAUUAAUUUUAAUCAUCAGAAUGGAAUUAUAAUAUAACUAUUUAAUUUUUAAAAUAAUUUUUAUUUAUUAUAUCUAUCAAAUUAUUUACAAAUUUUUAAGAUUUUUAUCAUUAAAGAAUCAUCAAUUCAAUCUCUUUUUUAUUCCUUAAAACAUAUAUUCUCAUACUCUCCAUUAUUUUUUCUCAUCCCUAUUAUGUCCUUAAAUCAAUGAAGUCACUCUCCUCCAAAUAUAUCCAAUAUAUGCUUCAAUUCAAGCACACAUCUCCAAAUAAAUCAAAUAUAUGUUUCAAUUCAGCACACAUAAUUUCACCACAUCCCAAUGAUCCCAGGUAUUUAAAACCAUUGAGAAUUUCAAGGCAUUCACAUUAACUAAUAAUUUUUUGUCCCUCAAUUCGAACACCAUACAAGACAAUGUCGGAAUUGGUCCCUCCCAUUCUCGGACAGAACAUGAACAUUUAAACCGGUCUUUAAAAUAUGUAGAUAUUAUAAUCAUUUAUAAUUCUUAAAAUGCAACUUUCCUAGUCUCUUGUAUUCUUGUUGUACUUAUAUGUUAAAAAGAAAAAAAAAGGAAGAAAAAGAAUAGAAAAAGUAACUUGAUAAAAAAAUUGAAAAAAUUACUUUUAUUUAUUAUUCAUAAUUUUCUAUUAUUAAAAUAGGAUAUUAUUUUACCAUACCUAACACAUAAUAUAAUUGUAUUAAACACAUACAAAUAUGUUACAUAUUUUUGUACAAAAAUGUUCACAAGAUUAUGCAGAGAUCAAAUGGAAACAUUAUUUACUAGGGAAAAGGCUCUAAGAGUUUCUUGAAAUAACUUUUUCUUAAAUAUAAAGAUUUCUAUAAAAGUGAUUUUUAAAUGAUGAUUAAAAGUAUAAUGUUUAUUUGUUAACACAAACAUAUCUUAUUUAUAUACAUGUUACAGCUUGUCUUAAGCUUAAAAAACUACCUGAUACCAAAGUUUAAAUAAUUUUAAAUUUUUCAAAAAAAAAAAUACAAAUUAAAUUCCUUCUACUAAUUUAAGUUUAAAAAAUUAUAAACAGAGUCAAUUUGAAACAUUCACUAAUCUCUUCCUUAAACUUUAUAUUUUAAUUUAUUUUAAACUUUCUAAUUUUAAUUUAUUUUUUAUUUUUUUAAGAUAUUACUCUUAAUAUUUUAAAUUGUAUUCCUUUACAAUUUUAAUGAAUAUGCUUAUUAAUUGUUCUGUUGAAAUUGGACAGAACACCUCAAUAUCUGCAACCUGAAACCACAUUAUGAAUAAAACAUCUGUGUUUCUUAGCAGUUGAUUGAAAUAUAUUAAAAGUUGAGAAAGUCAACAAAAAGCACACCAUUUUGUGAAGAAGAAAUCUAAAUUAUUUUUUACUUUAUAUUUAUUUUGAUUUUAAUAAGUGGCAUUUAGGAAGUAUAAGAUGACAUAACAAGUCUUUUUUCUAUAGAAAUAGAAACUCAAUUAUUUAAAAAAAAAUAUAGAAUAUAUGUAUAUGUAUAAACAAAAUAAAAAAAAUUAAAUAUAAUAAUCAAAUUAUUAAUUAAACUUAUAAAUAUAAUUAUAUUAUAUAUAAUAUUGGACCAUCUAUUGUCUGUAUUAUUUAUCGAUGUUUGAAAGUGGACCACUCCAUUAAGUCUAGUUUUAGAGAGUGUAUUAUUAUAAGACAAGAACAUAGUUGAAUUAAGUUGUGAUUCCAAUUGAGAGGAAUAACAAUGGAGGGAAAAGCAAUACCAGAAGUGAUGCUGAACUCAGGGAAGAAGAUGCCAAUGUUAGGUUUUGGCACAGGAACAGUGCCAUUACCACCACCACAUGUGCUCAUUCCUGCAUUCAUUGAAACCAUUAAAGUAGGCUACAGACAUUUUGACACUGCAGCUUAUUACCGUUCUGAAGAGCCUCUUGGCCAAGAAAUAACAGAAGCACUCCAUCAAGGUCUCAUCAAAAGUCGCACUGAGAUCUUUGUCACUACUAAAUUGUGGUGCACUGAAGCUCAUUCUGGCCUUGUUCUCCCAGCACUCCAGCUUUCAUUACAGUAAUUUUGAUACCCUUUUUAUAACAUUCUUAUUUUUUUUUAAAUUAGAUCAUUCCAAUCUUCACUUAAUUAUUGAAAUAUUAUUUAUCAGAUCUUAGUUGAGAUAAUUUAAAACUUUGACAUAAUUCUUUUUUCCAGUGUUAGUAGGAAUUUCUUGAGUUAAAAUCAAUUCAUGUUUGUCUAAGCAGAUUUGAUUAAUGUCACUAAGAUUUAUGUUAGUAGAAAUUGUUGUAUUUGUAUUUUUAUAUUCUGUUGUUUCUCUAUAGAAGUUAUUUCACUUCAUUAGCAUUAUGUGAUAAUAAUAAUUUGUAUAACUCAUAUUUUUUAUUCUUUUUAUAAUUGAAAUAUGUUAGCAAAUAAAAAAUGUAUACAAAAGUUAUAUUAUUUUGUUGAAAUAAAAUAUUUAAAAGAAUAGUAUAGAUUAUAAUAGGCUUAAUACUGUUUUUGGCCCCUAGUUUGGGGAGUUGUGUUCAAAAUGGUCCUACCUUUUUUAAUCGUAACAAUGGAUUCCAACUUUUGAAAAAACAAGUUAAUCCUUUUUUGCUAACAGCGUAACAAAUUUAAGGAUGAAGCUAUCAUCCUGGACAAAAACAUACAUAACGUGUCAAUUUUGAAUUUAAAAAAAAAAUUGACACAUCAGCUUCAUCUUCCAUCUCCAUCAACAGUGAACUUAGGGUUUUUUUUCCUCAUGCCUGUUGCGCUGUCGUCUCCUUCUUUCUCCUCCACACAUCAGCUUCUUAAGAAUUGAGGGUGUUGCACACGUUUGCGUUGCAUAGUUUUCUCAUUUUGAUUUUGGAUGGAUAAAGGUAAACCUGCCAAAGCAUUAGCGACCUCUUUGAAAAACCUCGAUUCGAACCCCCCAUCCAACAUCAAAUUCAAGUCUUCCAUUACCCACCCUCAAAUUCCCAGUAAAUUUCUGAACUUCAAUAUGUUUUUUUAUGAAACGUAACUUCUAUCGUUCACUUUUAAAGAUGGGGUGUUAUGUUUAUGUUUAGGUUUUGUUAAAGCUUUCAUCUUUCAGAGCCCCAUGAUAAUCAAACUUACUCUAUUUUGGGGAUCAAUUGAAUUUCAAACACCGUGGUUCUUUGUUUUUUUGUUCAUUUUAAGUAAAAAGUUCAAGUCAUUACUCAUUUGGGCUUUAUUGCAAUUGAUAUCUGUUUUUGAUGGUAUUACCAGAUUUUGUGGGUACUGCACAUUGAUGAUUAAUUAGGUUUUGAUCUGUUACACUGUUUAGAGUGUCCUCAGUUCGGUGAUAAUCAUCUGAAUCACCCGUGUUUAUCAAAUUAGAUAGCUCCACAACAACAACAUUCUUUGUUUUCAUAGCAUUCUCUGAAUUAAUUGCAUAGUUGUUUGACUAGACUCCACCUAAAAGACUAAGAACUUGUUCAUCAAGGGACCAAGUGCUGAAUUAAAUUACACAGGUUACAACUCUCGUGGGUUUUGUGGGGAGGAGAGGGAGAGGGAGAGGGAGAAGGAGACGGGGCAUACCUCUGGGGUCAUGAGAGAAAAAACCCUAAAUUCACGGUUGGUAGAGGUGGAAGAUGAAUGUGAUGUGUCAAUAAUUUCUUUUAAAUUCAAAAUUGACACGUAAUAUUACCUCACCGUGCCACGUAUGAGACAGUUCAGUAUGUUCUAUCCAGGGUGUAGUUGCACCGUUAAAUUUUUGAUGCCGUUAGCAAAAAGGAUUAACUUGACCCGUUUUUUCAAAAGUUGAGAUAGCACUAGUAAAAAAACACCUUUUUAACGCACUAUAUAUGCCUCGAUUUUAUUAAAACUGAAGCAUAUAAAAGUACGGUGGCAUUUUCGUAGUUUAAGAGAAGUUAUAUGCCUCGGUUUUAAAGCACCCGAAGCGGAAUACGUCUACUACCUCGGUUCGCUCAGAAGCCGAAGCAUAAAGUAUGCCAUGUAUCCUCCUGCUACCCUACAAACAAGCUCAAAUUCAGAUUAACAGAUAUACUGCCUCGGGCAUCUGCAGAACCGAGGCAGAAAGAUCAGGCUAUCGCCUCGGGCUGGCGCCAACUGAGUCCAAUAGAUUCAAAAUUGCCUCUGUAUUUUUUAUUUUUUUUUAUUUUAUAGUAUAAGCAUCGGUCAUUCUUUGAACUGAGGCAACAUAGCCUCAUAUCAGCACUAACCCUUCCAAAGCUUUCCAUUUCUCUUCUCGCAAACUCUCGUCUCUCACUAUGUUCUCCAACCCUUUCGAAACAGGGCUGUCACCAUCACCACUACUCUGUCGUUCAGUCGCCACCACGCCUCUGGUGUUCUCGCGCAAGAAGAAACCUCCCAUUCCCGCAACAGCGUCGCUGCCUCCCGCAACAGUAUCACUGCCUCGCCGCCAAGCCUCGCCUUUUUUCACUUUUUUCACUUCAAGAUUCAGACGCGCUUUCGUUGCGUCACUCUCUCUUUUCCUCCUCGUGGGUUCAUCUCUCUUUGCUCAAAUGGUAACCCUAGGGCUCUUCCAAUCUUUCGUGAGUUUUGCACAAAAUUCGAUUUUUUUUAUUCUCUGCCAAGUGGGCAUGAUGGGGAACGACGAUGCGGUUCACCUCUCCGCCUCCCGGAAAAUGUUCUGGCGGUUGGCGUCGUGGUCAUCUUCCUGGACUGUCGAAGGUCCUCACAGAGAGAAUCGGGUAAGGGUUUCAUGGAUUUUGGUAGCGCAGAAGGUCCUCACAGAGAGAAUCGGCGAUUCCCUUCGCCACCACUUACACCUCGGUCGCAGCAGAAUUGUAAGGCGCGGUCUUGCUUGUCGCCGCUGCAGCCGCUGUCUAUCGCUCGACGGAGUCUUGAUGAGUGGCCGAAGGCGGGCUCUGACGACAUCGGCGAGUGGCUGCAACCGCCCACCAUCCCGGGAGGGAGAGGUAAUGGUAGCAAUGGUGAAAGGUUGAAACUUGAUUUGUCUUCCAUAAUGGUUUCACUGUGUUGAAUUGUGUGGGGUUUGUGUGUCCUGUAUAAUUUAUGGUUUAUUUUGUGUACAGGACUUUGUGGCUGCAGGAUAGUCCCUCCGAGGACACUACUAGUAUCUUGUAUGAUGUCAUUGACUACUUUGAGGAUGUUAGGAAAAAAGGUGGGAGGGUGUUUGUGCACUGUUGUCAAGGGGUGUCUCGGUCUACAUCUCUGGUGAUUGCUUACCUUAUGUGGAGGGAGGGACAAAGUUUUGAUGAUGAAGGCUGCAAGAGGGAUUGGUGAUCCGUUUCACUUGCUUGUUGAUGAUGCAUUUCAGUUUAUUGUACACAUUCCUUCGGCAAUAUAUGUUUGGAUUAGUAAGACCUGUGAGGCCAUCAUGGAGAGGGACGCCAGAGGACUGUUGGCCAGAUUGAAAAAAUAAAAAAAAAAGAAGUUACUGCCUCGAUUACCUAAAAACCGAGGCAUAAUCAUCUCCUUUUUGACUCGGUUCGUAACCAAGGCAUAAAACCUACCUCUUUUACCUCGUCUAUAUAUGUCUCGGUUGUAGAACCGGUGCCUAUAAGCCAAAGCAACUGGUGUCAUUUCCUCUUUCUGCACUAGUGUAGGACCAUUUUGAACACAACCCCUCAAACUAGGGACCAAAAGCGGUAUUAAGCCAUUAUAAUAAAAGUGCUUUAAAUUUAAUAUAAUUAAAUUUUUUAUGGUGUGAAGUAAUGAUAGAAUUAUAUUCAAUGGUACAUGUUAACCCUCUAAACUAACCUUUUAUUACCCGAAUUAAAAUUAUUGCCAUAAAAUAUUAUUUUAAGGAUGGUUACCCGUUCUUCAAAUGAAUUAUUAUUAUUAUUGGAUUAUUCAUGUUUAUAGCUAUAGAUUUUACACUCCUUAGGUUCAGUUCUUGAUGAGAAAGGAAUGUACUAUAAAAAUCUCUUAUAUUAGUAGCAAUAAAGUAUAUAAAUGAAGAAUAGUUUUGAUUUUUAUUUACCUUUUUCUUUCAAAUCCAAAUUCUAAAGUUUAUUGAGAUAAAUUUAAAUUUUAAUCAAAGAAUAAAAGAAAAUGUUUACAAUAAGUAGUGUACAAUAUUAGGUUUAUAAUAUUAGUCUUACAUAAUUUAGUUUAAAACUCAGAAACUUCUUUUCUCUCUAGCUCUACAAGGAUCAGAUUUCUCCAGAAUUUGUAAUGCUACAGCUGUUUAAGAUUUUGCUUCAAAUACAAGUUAGAUUGUGUUCAAUUCUUCUUCUUUUACUUUCUUUGCAUUUUUCAAUUCAGGUUUGGUGCUUCUUUCAAAACCCAUUUUAUGAAUUCUUACUUGUGAAUAAUGUUACAUUUUGGCAGGAGGUUGGGUCUAGAGUAUGUGGAUCUUUACCUAAUCCAUUUUCCAGUGAGGCUGAGACAAGGAGCUAAAGGAAUCAAGUAUGGCAAAGAAGACAUUCUUCCUUUGGACAUGAAAGGAACAUGGGAAGACAUGGAACAAUGCUGUAAAUUGGGUUUGGCCAAAUCCAUUGGUGUAAGCAAUUUUGGGGUGAAAAAGCUUUCACAGCUUGUUCAGAAUGCUAUUAUUACUCCUGCUCUUGUCCAGGUACUCUCAUGUUACUACCAAUAGCAGUGUACAAUGUUUUGAAUUGUUGCCAAAGAAACUAGUUUGUGUAUGAAAUUCAGCUUAUGUGUUUGUAAAAAUGCAUCCUCAGGUGGAGAUGAACGCGGCAUGGCAACAGGAAAACCUGAGAAAAUUCUGCAAAGAGAGGGGAAUUCAUGUGAGUGCAUGGUCUCCUCUGGGAGCCAAUGGAGCUGUGUGGGGUUCCCUUGCUGUUAUGGACAGUCCUAUUCUGAAGGACAUUGCAUACAAAUCAGGCAAGAGUGUGGCACAGGUGAGUUAAUAAUAAAACAUGAUAAACAAUAUAGAUGGAUUAUGUGAUGUGAAACUUAGUGGUAAGUGUGUGCAAUUGCAGGUUGCACUGAGGUGGAUAAUAGAGGAAGGUGCAACUCCAAUAGUGAAGAGCUUCAACAGUGAGAGAAUGAAGCAAAAUCUUAAGAUUUUCGAUUGGGAGCUGAGUGAGAGUGACUCAGAGAAGAUUAAAGAAAUACCACAGCAUAGGGGUUUCAAGGGUGAACGUUUUGUCUCUGAGUUUGGCCCUUUCAAAACUUUCGAAGAACUUUGGGAAUGACUGCACAUCAAUCUCAUCAAUGCUGUUUUCAAGUGAAUAAAACACAGUGUUUCGCUUCUUCUAAGACCUUUCCUUUCAAAUAAACAAGCUUUUAAAUAACAGUUUCAUUCUCAUUAGCAUAAUUUUUAUAUUAUCAAACAGUUGAGAACUAAAUAUGCAUGUAUUCAGUAUUCAAUAAUAUUCCAAUAACGGACACAUUUCUCAACCGUUG
rnacentral:lncRNA from 1 species